AGCAGAGGUCAGCUUUCCACACAGUACUAGAAUCUUGCCAAAGGUGUGCAGUGAUUGUAGUAGUCUGGGAAGGAGGGAGUGAAGGAAGUCUGCCUCUGUGAACUGUGAUGCUAUAUAUUACCCAAAGCAUUCGCCACGGUUGCAUCACUUCAGCUUUCAGUGGAAGCAAAGUGAUGAGAAACCUCACCCUGACCUUUUCAACAGAGAAAGUUAUUUCAGAGUGAGAACCAGGAAGGAGGACUGCCCUUGGAGGUAUCCACACUUUUGAUUUUGUAACCACAAAUGGACCUUAUCUUUUACAGAUGUGUGGUUCCAUUCAUAGCUACCCUGAGAUAUCUGUGGACUGUAAGUGGGACACAUCUGCAAAAGCCUAAAUGCAACAUGGUGAUCUGAAGGCUUCCAGUUUCCAUCCACACCCGGAGCAGAUCCUGUGCCACAGCACUCCAUACUCAAAUAGCACCAGGAGAGAAUGGGACUCCCAGGAGUGCAGACUUGCCUGUGAGCACAGGUAAGACCACCACUUCUGCUCUGUGGGACCCGCCCUGAGCCCUCAGGAUACA
rnacentral:lncRNA from 1 species